GCGCUCGUGCCGCAACGGGUAGACGGGCCGGCUUGAGGAGCCGGUGGCUGAGGGUUCGAAUCCCUCCGAGCGCA
rnacentral:tRNA from 1 species